GCUUAAAAUCCGUCGACUUUUGAAAUCGUGGGGGUUCAAGUCCCUCUAUCCCCA
rnacentral:tRNA from 1 species